UAAGGAAUAUUGGACAAUGGAGGCAACUCUGAUCCAGCCAUGCCGCGUGAAGGAAUAUGGCCCUAUGGGUUGUAAACUUCUUUUAGACGGGACAAAACCCCUUUACGUGUAAAGGGUUGAUGGUACUGUCAGAAUAAGCAUCGGCUAACUUCGUGCCAGCAGCCGCGGUAAUACGAAGGAUGCAAGCGUUAUCCGGAAUUAUUGGGUUUAAAGGGUGCGUAGGCGGACUAAUAAGUCAGUGGUGAAAGCCUGCAGCUUAACUGCAGAAUUGCCAUUGAUGCUGUUAGUCUUGAGUACAGUUGAGGUAGGCGGAAUGUGUCAUGUAGCGGUGAAAUGCUUAGAUAUGACACAGAACACCGAUUGCGAAGGCAGCUUGCUAAGCUGUAACUGACGCUGAGGCACGAAAGCGUGGGGAGCAAACA
rnacentral:rRNA from 1 species